UGGGGUGUAGCCAAGCGGUAAGGCACUAGUUUUUGGAUCUAGCAUUCAAAGGUUCGAAUCCUUUCACUCCAG